CCCCAAACCGACACAGGUGGUCAGGUAGAGAAUACCAAGGCGCUUGAGAGAACUCGGGUGAAGGAACUAGGCAAAAUGGUGCCGUAACUUCGGGAGAAGGCACGCUGAUAUGUAGGUGAGGUCCCUCGCGGAUGGAGCUGAAAUCAGUCGAAGAUACCAGCUGGCUGCAACUGUUUAUUAAAAACACAGCACUGUGCAAACACGAAAGUGGACGUAUACGGUGUGACGCCUGCCCGGUGCCGGAAGGUUAAUUGAUGGGGUUAGCGCAAGCGAAGCUCUUGAUCGAAGCCCCGGUAAACGGCGGCCGUAACUAUAACGGUCCUAAGGUAGCGAAAUUCCUUGUCGGGUAAGUUCCGACCUGCACGAAUGGCGUAAUGAUGGCCAGGCUGUCUCCACCCGAGACUCAGUGAAAUUGAACUCGCUGUGAAGAUGCAGUGUACCCGCGGCAAGACGGAAAGACCCCGUGAACCUUUACUAUAGCUUGACACUGAACAUUGAGCCUUGAUGUGUAGGAUAGGUGGGAGGCUUAGAAGUGUGGACGCCAGUCUGCAUGGAGCCGACCUUGAAAUACCACCCUUUAAUGUUUGAUGUUCUAACGUUGACCCGUAAUCCGGGUUGCGGACAGUGUCUGGUGGGUAGUUUGACUGGGGCGGUCUCCUCCUAAAGAGUAACGGAGGAGCACGAAGGUUGGCUAAUCCUGGUCGGACAUCAGGAGGUUAGUGCAAUGGCAUAAGCCAGCUUGACUGCGAGCGUGACGGCGCGAGCAGGUGCGAAAGCAGGUCAUAGUGAUCCGGUGGUUCUGAAUGGAAGGGCCAUCGCUCAACGGAUAAAAGGUACUCCGGGGAUAACAGGCUGAUACCGCCCAAGAGUUCAUAUCGACGGCGGUGUUUGGCACCUCGAUGUCGGCUCAUCACAUCCUGGGGCUGAAGUAGGUCCCAAGGGUAUGGCUGUUCGCCAUUUAAAGUGGUACGCGAGCUGGGUUUAGAACGUCGUGAGACAGUUCGGUCCCUAUCUGCCGUGGGCGCUGGAGAACUGAGGGGGGCUGCUCCUAGUACGAGAGGACCGGAGUGGACGCAUCACUGGUGUUCGGGUUGUCAUGCCAAUGGCACUGCCCGGUAGCUAAAUGCGGAAGAGAUAAGUGCUGAAAGCAUCUAAGCACGAAACUUGCCCCGAGAUGAGUUCUCCCUGACUCCUUGAGAGUCCUGAAGGAACGUUGAAGACGACGACGUUGAUAGGCCGGGUGUGUAAGCGCAGCGAUGCGUUGAGCUAACCGGUACUAAUGAACCGUGAGGCUUAACCUU
rnacentral:rRNA from 1 species